GAGUACAUGGCAUCUUUGAGGAGGAAACUGCUGCUGUUCAGUGUCAGUCACUGAUAUUUCAGAAGUGCUUUCUUUGGGGGAAGUAAAGACAGCAACAAAAAAGGCGAUGAACAGGACUUGUAUCUUCUGCAAGUCUGAAGUCUGCGCCUGUCCAUCAGAACAGUGAGAAGACUGGAUGUAUUCAACAUCCUGGUGGUUCCAUGUUACAGAUUGUCUUGUGCUAGAUCCCCAGAAGACAUGGAGAGCCUUACCUGGACUGCAUACACCGGCAUUACAGUGUAGAAUGGAAGACAGCAUUUUACAGAUUAUCAAUAAGGGUCCCUGGAGGAAAGUCUGCAGGAGAGGACCCGUCACUGCUGGGCCAUGGUUUGCAGAGUACUCCCUGUCAGUCAGCACUGUGCCCACCAUGAAGCAGGAUGUGCCAGGCAUGAGGGAGGAGGAUGAGUGAGAGCAAAGUACCCACAUCUGCUGGGGAGGGAGCCUCGUCUGGAGUGUAGCACAGCCUCAAGGCUCUGGGGCCUUCAGAAAGGGGUGCCAGUGUCCCUGGGAAGUGCAUACAAGAAACUGAAUUCCAGUCGUCUUCUCUUAUUUUGACUUUUUCUGUCUCCUUUGCAUGUAUGAAGUGGUUAGCAGUCCACCUCCCGCUCUGUAGGGCAGACUGACUCUGAAUUUGUGUUAUUCACAAAUAAUAAAUGAAUAAAUCAUCUUUAUUCACAUAAUUCUAUCUAAUCAUAGUCCUCAGCCAUUCACAAAUUGUUGGAAACACAAAGCAAUUUUUACUGAGCAGUAUUCUUGGUGCCAGAUGUGGUCCUUUGACCAUACUGGUGUCUAGCAGCUAUAAUUAACUGGCAUUUUGAGGGCUAAGGGAAAAGUAAGGAUAAAAUUCUGAGUUUGUUGUUUUAAGUAGAACUUAGGAUACAGCAUCAUUUCUACCAGUCCUGGAGCUCAUACCCAGUGGCUUUCAUUGUACUGAGCGUGUUGUGGUUCUGUUUUGUUCCUCCAGGCAGUAAUAGCUCAGCAUGAGAUAGUCUUCUUGUUUUCCUUUGUAACAUUUGGUAGCGUUUCAUCCAGCAGUAUCUGUAAUGGAAGGCAGGUUUGACUGUUUUGGACUCCCACUGGAUUUUAAAUAUGUUUUCAUCAAGUUUGUUUAUGAAGUGCUUUCACAACUAUAACCUUCUUUUAUGAUGACUUCCUUGUUUUACAUAUGUGAAAAUAUUUUUAUGUUUUGUGUCUCUUUCCUAAUUCUAAACAAUAUAUUUUGGUGCCACAACAAUAUAUUUUCCUAUCUGCACAUGAAGUUAUCAAGAAUUGUUGUACAGCUCACUUCUGUAUACCUGUUAACAAGACAUACUGUUUUUAUGAAGCACAGGCUUACUGCUUUGAGCAAUAUGUACAUAGUCAGGACUUACAAUAUAACAUUAUCCAUCUAUC
ensembl:lncRNA